rnacentral:rRNA from 1 species
UUUUGGGCAAUGGGCGAAAGCCUGACCCAGCAACGCCGCGUGAAGGAUGAAAUCCCUCGGGAUGUAAACUUCGCAAGAACGGGCAGAAUAAGUGGGGGUUAAUAUCCUCCAUGCUGACGGUACUGUUUGUAAGCUCCGGCUAACUCUGUGCCAGCAGCCGCGGUAAUACAGAGGGUGCGAGCGUUGUCCGGAAUCACUGGGCGUAAAGGGCGCGUAGGCGGCCCCUUAAGCGUGUCGUGAAAGCGCGGGGCUCAACCCCGCGUCGGCGAUGCGAACUGGGGGGCUGGAGCACGUCAGAGGCAGGCGGAAUUCCGGGUGUAGCGGUGGAAUGCGUAGAGAUCCGGAAGAACACCGGUGGCGAAGGCGGCCUGCUGGGACGUGGCUGACGCUGAGGCGCGACAGCGUGGGGAGCAAAC